rnacentral:tRNA from 1 species
AGUCUCAUGGUGUAAUGGUAGCACUUCUGAUUUUGGUUCAGACAGUCAAGGUUCGAAUCCUUGUGAGACUACCA